rnacentral:rRNA from 1 species
UUAGAGUUUGAUUAUGGCUCAGGAUGAACGCUGGCGGCGUGCCUAAUACAUGCAAGUCGAACGGUGUAUAUAAUUUAUUAUAUACAUAGUGGCGAACGGGUGAGUAACGCGUUGGUGACCUGCCCUAAAGCGGGGGACAACAGUUCGAAAGGGCUGCUAAUACCCCAUGUGGUUGUUCGGGAUUAGAAGCGGACAACUAAAGGAUAGCCCUGUGAGGGGAAAUUCGCUUUAGGAGGGGCCUGCGUCCCAUCAGCUAGUUGGCAGGGUAAAGGCCUACCAAGGCGUAGACGGGUAGGGGACCUGAGAGGGUGGCCCCCCACAAUGGAACUGAAACACGGUCCAUACACCUACGGGUGGCAGCAGUAGGGAAUAUUGCACCAUGGACGGAAGUCUGAUGCGGCAACGCCGCGUGAGUGAUGAAGGCCUUCGGGUCGUAAAACUCUUUUCAAGGGGAAGAGGAAGGACGGUACCCUUGGAAUAAGCAUCGGCUAACUACGUGCCAGCAGCCGCGGUAACACGUAGGAUGCAAGCGUUAUUCGGAUUUACUGGGCGUAAAGCGCGUGUAGGCGGUUGGGAUAGUUGGAUGUGAAAGCUCCCGGCUUAACUGGGAGAGGUCGUUCAAAACUUCCCAACUAGAGUUUGGUAGAGGAAAAUGGAAUUCCCGGGUGUAGUGGUGAAAUGCGUAGAUAUCCGGAGGAACACCAGUGGCGAAAAGCGAUUUUCUGGACCGAUACUGACGCUCAGACGCGAAAGCUAGGGUAGCAAACGGGAUUAGAGACCCCCGGUAGUCCUAGCCGUAAACGAUGUAGACUAGGCGUUGGUGGAGUAAAAUUCAUCAGUGCCGCAGCAAACGCGAUAAGUCUACCGCCUGGGGAGUACGGCCGCAAGGUUAAAACUCAAAGGAAUUGACGGGGCCCCGCACAAGCAGCGGAGCGUGUGGUUUAAUUCGAUGUUACACGAAGAACCUUACCAGGGUUUGACAUAUAAGUGGUAGGGAAGGGAAACCGGACCGACCCUUCGGGGAGCUUAUACAGGUGCUGCAUGGCUGUCGUCAGCUCGUGUCGUGAGAUGUUCGGUUAAGUCCGCUAACGAGCGCAACCCUCGCUGUGUGUUACAAGUGUCACACGGUACUGCCGGUCUUAAACCGGAGGAAGGUGGGGAUGACGUCAAGUCAGCAUGGCCUUUAUAUCCUGGGCUACACACACGCUACAAUGGGUAGGGACAAUUGGUUGCGAAACCGCGAGGUGGAGCCAAUCCGUAAAAACUACCCUCAGUUCAGAUUGCAGGCUGCAACUCGCCUGCAUGAAGUCGGAGUUGCUAGUAACCGCAGGUCAGCUAUACUGCGGUGAAUACGUUUCCGGGGCUUGUACACACCGCCCGUCACGUCAUGGGAGCUGGUAACACCUGAAGCCGGUAGCUUAACCCGUAAGGGAGGGCGCUGUCGAAGGUGGGGCUGGUGACUGGGACGAAGUCGUAACAAGGUAGGAGUACCGGAAGGUGCGCCUGGAUCACCUCCUUUCU